GGGUGCUUGGCGCAAUGGUAGCGCGCGGUCCUCCUAUACAUACAAUAGUAAAGACUGAGGUUGAGGGUUCGAGUCCCUUGGUGCUCG
rnacentral:tRNA from 1 species